rnacentral:rRNA from 1 species
UACGUAGGGUGCGAGCGUUAAUCGGAAUUACUGGGCGUAAAGCGUGCGCAGGCGGUUUUGUAAGCCAGAUGUGAAAUCCCCGGGCUCAACCUGGGAAUGGCAUUUGGGACUGCAAGGCUGGAGUUUGGCAGAGGAGACUGGAAUUCCCGGUGUAGCAGUGAAAUGCGUAGAUAUCGGGAGGAACACCAGUGGCGAAGGCGACUUCCUGGCCUGUUCUUGACGCUGAGGCGCGAAAGCUAGGGUAGCAAACGGGG